rnacentral:rRNA from 1 species
GGAAUAUUGGACAAUGGGGGGAACCCUGAUCCAGCCAUGCCGCGUGUGUGAAGAAGGCUUUUUGGUUGUAAAGCACUUUAAGCGAGGAGGAGGCUCCCAGUAUUAAUACUACUGGAGAGUGGACGUUACUCGCAGAAUAAGCACCGGCUAACUCUGUGCCAGCGGCCGCGGUAAUACAGAGGGUGCAAGCGUUAAUCGGAUUUACUGGGCGUAAAGCGUGCGUAGGUGGCCAAUUAAGUCAAAUGUGAAAUCCCCGAGCUUAACUUGGGAAUUGCAUUCGAUACUGGUUGGCUAGAGUAUGGGAGAGGAUGGUAGAAUUCCAGGUGUAGCGGUGAAAUGCGUAGAGAUCUGGAGGAAUACCGAUGGCGAAGGCAGCCAUCUGGCCUAAUACUGACACUGAGGUACGAAAGCAUGGGGAGCAAACAGGAUUAGAUACCCCAG